rnacentral:rRNA from 1 species
UACAGAGGGUGCAAGCGUUGUUCGGAAUUAUUGGGCGUAAAGGGCGCGUAGGCGGUGCGGUAAGUCUGUAGUGAAAUCUCUGGGCUCAACUCAGAGUCUGCUGCAGAAACUGCCGUGCUUGAGUGUGGGAGAGGUGAGUGGAAUUCCCGGUGUAGUGGUGAAAUGCGUAGAGAUCGGGAGGAACACCUGUGGCGAAGGCGGACCGACUGGGCCGACCCUGACGCUGAGGCGCGAAGGCGUGGGGAGCGAACGGG